GGGCUUGGUUUGGUUUUGACAGCAAGGUAAAUGGGUAAGUAAGCAUGCAGGCACACGUAAUAAAUGCCUUAAAAAAGGUUACACACAAAUUAAUUGGCGAAGAAUCUUACGCUUUUGCUGCUUAAUCGAAGUUUAGUAGAUUAGCUUAAUCUGUAUCAAGGAUAUGGAGCAAAACGUUCCUCCACGACCCAUUCUCUAUGGUCAAAGAUAAAGGGACGCACGCAAAAUAGAGAUAGUUUUUGAGUAUCUUCGGCUCAAUUACGAAAUUUAAGAAGAUAAGGCAGGACUUAGGGUGUCUUUCUCCUUUUCUUGCACUAAAACCAAAGAAAGAAUAAGCAUGUAGAAAGUUUAUUUGUUUCUUGUUUGGACCAGGGUUCGACUCCCUGCAAGUCCAC
rnacentral:tmRNA from 1 species